rnacentral:lncRNA from 1 species
AUGUGUGUGGAACCCGUUUGUUGGCUGACGGCCCAGUCCUCGGUAGAGGGUCUUUCGGGAGAGAAGAAGAAGAAGGUUCCUGCUGUGCCAGAAACCCUUAAGAAAAAGCGAAGGAAUUUCGCAGAGCUGAAGGUCAAGCGCCUGAGAAAGAAGUUUGCCCAAAAGAUGCUUCGAAAGGCAAGGAGGAAGCUUAUCUAUGAAAAAGCGAAGCACUAUCACAAGGAGUAUAGGCAGAUGUACAGAACUGAAAUUCGAAUGGCGAGGAUGGCAAGAAAAGCUGGCAACUUCUAUGUACCUGCUGAACCCAAAUUGGCGUUUGUCAUCAGGAUCAGAGGGUAAAUUCAGUCUUACUGCAUUCAGGUUUCAAAGGGAGAGUUAGCACUGGUUAAAAAAAAAAAAAAAAAACACUACUCAUUAAUUCUGGGAGCCCUGAUUCUGAAACACUGGAGUAACAAUAUUUUAGGGGAAGCUAAAACAAGGAGGGUGGUGAUCACUCAUGGUUUAGUUGCAAGCCAUGUUCCCCAAGCUCCUAUCCCUUCUCUUAAUCGAAUACAGAAGUUCAGUGUGUAACGUGAGAGGAUUCCUAUCUGUUUAGGUAGGACUUGAUAUUCCAAACUAUAAUGGUUAGUAUUAAUAAAAAUUUCGAUGAAAGGCAAAUGCAUUUCUGGUCCCUUUUCACCAUAGUAUCAAUGGCGUGAGCCCAAAGGUCCGAAAGGUAUUGCAGCUUCUUCGCCUUCGUCAAAUCUUCAAUGGAACCUUUGUGAAGCUCAACAAGGCUUCGAUUAACAUGCUGAGGAUUGUAGAACCAUAUAUUGCAUGGGGGUAAGUCUCUUUUCUCCUUUGAUUUCUGUUUGGUAAAUUGGCUAUGUGUCAACAUGAAUUUUAAAUGUUUUAACAGUGGUCACCUUAUUUAUGUUUGCUUUUUCACUUCAGGUACCCCAAUCUGAAGUCAGUAAAUGAGCUAAUCUACAAGCGUGGUUAUGGCAAAAUCAAUAAGAAGCGAAUUGCUUUGACAGAUAACGCUUUGAUUGCUCGAUCUCUUGGUAGGUUCUGUUUGGGGGAAAGUUUGACCAUGCUAUAACUUCCUAUCCUCUUGUGGCUGUACAUUUCUCACUAUUGUACAUUUUCAUAUAUUCCCUGUGAUUCUUGAUUAAGCUUAAAGAAAAUGUAAGGCAUGGUUUCAUUGGCUUGAACCUUAUCUUCGUAAAGCCAUGCAUUUACCUUGUUUAUUCCUGGUGUGUUUUUAUUUCACAGCCUACAGUUGCUCUUGUUGGGUGUCCUAAAGUCUAACAAUUAAUUCAAAACUUUUUGCAACUUUAAUAAUUUUAACCUUAAAAUAUUUAGGUAAAUAUGGCAUCAUCUGCAUGGAGGAUCUGAUUCAUGAGAUCUAUACUGUUGGAAAACGCUUCAAAGAGGCAAAUAACUUCCUGUGGCCCUUCAAAUUAUCUUCUCCACGAGGUGGAAUGAAGAAAAGACCACCCAUUUUGUAGAAGGUGGAGAUGCUGGCAACAGGGAGGACCAGAUCAACAGGCUUAUUAGAAGAAUGAACUAAGGUGAGAGACCUCAUCCUGAGAAAUGUCGAGUUAACGCUAGAGUGCAAGUGCUGGUAAUCUUGAAUACUUUUCCCAUUAAAUAUUGAGGGAGGUCUGAAUUUUAAUCAGUGCUUUUGUGGGGAGCGGGAUCAACUAUCUUAACGAUUACAUUUGGUUUGUUACUUAAUGAUUACAGUUGGUUAGCUUUUGAGGACCUUUCUGGAGGAAAGGAAAAGCCUGUUUGGGGAGUUUUAAAGAUGGAAAUUGGGUGAUCUUAAAAUGUAAACUCAAUAGUUAACUUUUAACUGUCUAUGUUAAUUGUUAGCCGGCUAAGGUGUUUUCUAA